UCAGUGUGAGGGAAGGAUGGUGUAGUUAAUAACUGCGCAUUUUGACGUUAGCAACAGAAGAAGCACCGCUAACUCCGUGCCAGCAGCCGCGGUAAUACGGAGGGUGCGAGCGUUAAUCGGAAUUACUGGGCGUAAAGCGCAUGCAGGUGGUUUGUUAAGUCAGAUGUGAAAGCCCGGGGCUCAACCUCGGAAGGUCAUUUGAAACUGGCAAACUAGAGUACUGUAGAGGGGGGUAGAAUUUCAGGUGUAGCGGUGAAAUGCGUAGAGAUCUGAAGGAAUACCAGUGGCGAAGGCGGCCCCCUGGACAGAUACUGACACUCAGAUGCGAAAGCGUGGGGAGCAAACAGGAUUAGAUACCCUGGUAGUCCACGCCGUAAACGAUGUCUACUUGGAGGUUGUGGCCUUGAGCCGUGGCUUUCGGAGCUAACGCGUUAAGUAGACCGCCUGGGGAGUACGGUCGCAAGAUUAAAACUCAAAUGAAUUGACGGGGGCCCGCACAAGCGGUGGAGCAUGUGGUUUAAUUCGAUGCAACGCGAAGAACCUUACCUACUCUUGACAUCCAGAGAACUUUCCAGAGAUGGAUUGGUGCCUUCGGGAACUCUGAGACAGGUGCUGCAUGGCUGUCGUCAGCUCGUGUUGUGAAAUGUUGGGUUAAGUCCCGCAACGAGCGCAACCCUUAUCCUUGUUUGCCAGCGAGUAAUGUCGGGAACUCCAGGGAGACUGCCGGUGAUAAACCGGAGGAAGGUGGGGACGACGUCAAGUCAUCAUGGCCCUUACGAGUAGGGCUACACACGUGCUACAAUGGCGCAUACAGAGGGCAGCAAGCUAGCGAUAGUGAGCGAAUCCCAAAAAGUGCGUCGUAGUCCGGAUUGGAGUCUGCAACUCGACUCCAUGAAGUCGGAAUCGCUAGUAAUCGUGGAUCAGAAUGCCACGGUGAAUACGUUCCCGGGCCUUGUACACACCGCCCGUCACACCAUGGGAGUGGGCUGCAAAAGAAGUAGGUAGUUUAACCUUCGGGAGGACGCUUACCAC
rnacentral:rRNA from 1 species